rnacentral:rRNA from 1 species
AGGGUUUGAUCAUGGCUCAGAACGUACGCUGGCGGCACGCCUAACACAUGCAAGUCGAACGAAGUAGCAAUACUUAGUGGCAGACGGGUGAGUAACAUGUAGGUAUCUGCCCUUUGGCCUGGAAUAACACGAGGAAACUUGUGCUAAUACCGGAUAAGUCUUUACGGAGAAAGCUUUAUGCACCAUUGGAUGAGCCUGCACUUGAUUAGUUUGUUGGUGGGGUAAUGGCCUACCAAGACUGUGAUCAAUAGCUGAUUUGAGAGGAUGAUCAGCCACAUUGGGACUGAGACACGGCCCAAACUCCUACGGGAGGCAGCAGUGGGGAAUCUUGCACAAUGGAGGAAACUCUGAUGCAGCGAUGCCGCGUGAGUGAAGAAGGCCUUUGGGUUGUAAAGCUCUUUCGUCGGGGAAGAAAAUGACUGUACCCGAAUAAGAAGGUCCGGCUAACUUCGUGCCAGCAGCCGCGGUAAUACGAAGGGACCUAGCGUAGUUCGGAAUUACUGGGCCUAAAGAGUUCGUAGGUGGUUGAAAAAGUUGGUGGUGAAAUCCCAGAGCUUAACUCUGGAACUGCCAUCAAAACUUUUCAGCUAGAGUUUGAUAGAGGAAAGCAGAAUUUCUAGUGUAGAGGUGAAAUUCGUAGAUAUUAGAAAGAAUACCAAUUGCGAAGGCAGCUUUCUGGAUCAUUACUGACACUGAGGAACGAAAGCAUGGGUAGCGAAGAGGAUUAGAUACCCUCGUAGUCCAUGCCGUAAACGAUGUGUGUUAGACGUUGGAAAUUUAUUUUCAGUGUCGCAGCGAAAGCGAUAAACACACCGCCUGGGGAGUACGACCGCAAGGUUAAAACUCAAAUGAAUUGACGGGGACCCGCACAAGUAGUGGAGCAUGUGGUUUAAUUCGAAGAUACGCGCAGAACCUUACCAACACUUGACAUGUUCGUCGCGACUUUAAGAGAUUAAAGUUUUCGGUUCGGCCGGACGAAACACAGGUGCUGCAUGGCUGUCGUCAGCUCGUGUCGUGAGAUGUUGGGUUAAGUCCCGCAACGAGCGCAACCCUCACUUUUAGUUGCCAUCAUUUAGUUGGGCACUCUGAAAGAACUGCCAGUGAUAAGCUGGAGGAAGGUGGGGAUGACGUCAAGUCCUCAUGGCCCUUACGUGUUGGGCUACACACGUGCUACAAUGGUAUCUACAACAGGAAGCAAGACUGCGAAGUUAAGCAAAUCCCUAAAAGAUACCUCAGUUCGGAUUGCACUCUGCAACUCGAGUGCAUGAAGCUGGAAUUACUAGUAAUCGUGGAUCAGCGUGCCACGGUGAAUGCGUUCCCGGGUCUUGUACACACCGCCCGUCACACCAUGGGAGUUGGUUCUACCUUAAGGCAAGGUUUUAAACCCUUGACCACGGUAUAGUCAGCGACUGGGGUGAAGUCAUAACAAGGUAGCCGUA